rnacentral:misc_RNA from 1 species
GAUGAAGAACGUAGCGAAAUGCGAUAAGUAAUGUGAAUUGCAGGAUUCAGUGAAUCAUCGAAUCUUUGAACGCACAUUGCGCCCGCCAGUAUUCUGGCGGGCAUGCCUGUUCGAGCGUCAUUUCAACCAUCAAGCCCCCGGCUUGUGUUGGGGACCUGCGGCUGCCGCAGGCCCUGAAAAGCAGUGGCGGGCUCGCUGUCACACCGAGCGUAGUAGCAUACAUCUCGCUCUGGGCGUGCUGCGGGUUCCGGCCGUUAAACCACCUUCAUAACCCAAGGUUGACCUCGGAUCAGGUAGGAAGACCCGCUGAACUUAAGCAUAUCAAUAAGCGGAGGA